CCCUUAGAUGUCCGGGGCCGCACGCGCGCUACACUGAAGGAAUCAGCGUGGCUUUCUCCCUGACCCGAAAGGGUUGGGAAGCCCGUUGAAUCUCCUUCGUGAUAGGGAUUGGGGCUUGAAAUUGUUCCCCAUGAACGAGGAAUUCCCAGUAAGCGCGAGUCAUAAGCUCGCGUUGAUUACGUCCCUGCCCUUUGUACACACCGCCCGUCGCUACUACCGAUUGAACGGUUUAGUGAGGGCCUCGGAUUGGUCUCGGCCCGCUCUUCACCGGGCGGCGCCGUUGGUCGAGAAGACGCUCGAACUUGAUCGUUUAGAGGAAGUAAAAGUCGUAACA
rnacentral:rRNA from 1 species